AUGAAGCAGCAGCAGUGACCCUGGCGGGCCAGGCUGACGUGCAUGGGAACAGGGGGAGUGACCCUGGCUGGGAAGCAGGGAGGCCUGGAUAUUGUUUCUCCUGGCUCUGUGUCCUGCCAUUCUCGUCUCUGUGCUCAGAGCUCUCAAGCACCCACGAUGGCCUUCUCAGGCCGAGCGCGCCCCUGCGUUAUCCCAGAGAACAAAGAAAUCCCCCGAGCAGCCCUUAACAGUGUCCACGAGGCCAAUGGGACCGAGGACGAGAGGGCUGUUUCCAGACUGCAGCGCAGGCACAGUGACGUGAAAGUCUACAAGGAGUUCUGUGACUUUUAUGCGAAAUUCAACAUGGCCAAUGCCCUGGCCAACACCACUUGCGAGCGCUGCAAGGGUGGCUUUGCGCCCGCUGAGAAGAUCGUGAACAGUAACGGGGAGCUGUACCCAUGAGCAGUGUUCUGUGUGCGCUCAGUGCUUCCAGCAGUUCCCAGAAGGACUCUUCUAUGAGGUGAGUUGUGCUGGACAAAAGCAGGGAGGUGCCAUUCCCCACCCUCCUGCUUCCUGCCCUUCUUUCCUGAGGCCUCCUCCUUCAUGUUCAGUUUCAUGAUGAAAGACUGAAUUGAAGUGCCAGAUGCAUGCUAGGUAUUUGAUAGCUGUGAGGUCAGAGGUGGCAUCUCUAUGGCCCAUAUGGGCA
rnacentral:sRNA from 1 species